GGUGGAAUGGUCUCAGCGAGC
rnacentral:miRNA from 1 species